UGCCCCAUCUUACCCAGCAGUGUUUGGGUGCUGCUUGGACGUCUCUAAUACUGCCGGGUAACGAUGGAGCU
rfam:Sarcophilus harrisii ctg7180002525407, whole genome shotgun sequence.